rnacentral:snRNA from 1 species
AGCUUUGCGCAGUGGCAGUAUCAUGGCCAAUGAGGUUUAUCGGAGGUGCAAUUACUGCUAAUUUUUAGGAGGUUGAUAGUAAUUUAGCAUUAGGGAGAUCUGGUUGAUGAACAGUUUUUUUAGGCCUUUGGUGGCAUUCAGGCAGAGAAAGG